rnacentral:lncRNA from 1 species
CUCUCUCUCUCUCUCUCUCUCUCUCUCUCUCUCUCUCUCUCUCUCUCUCUCUCUCUCUCUCUCAAGUUUGGCAUCAUCUGUGCAAUCUCAUUGGGGGUGGGUGGAGGGGGGGGGCACUGAUGGCUCUUGCCACCCUUUGUUGUUUGUCUAUCUUGAUUAUUUCCUAGCACAAAAUGAAUUAUCUUGUCAAUGUGCAUCUCUUUACUCAAACAUAAGCUGGCUGCUCCAGGCUCUUCGAGUUUGCUUGAUUUUUUUUUUUUACUUCAAAGAAAAUUAUCAACUCAUUUGGGAUGGGGUUCCAAAUUUUAUAUAAUCAAUGUGGGCUUAAAUUUGUUUUACCUACAACAACUUGAUUUUGCCCAUACACAAACUAUUAAGUUUUGGGAGGGGGGGAUAUAAAUGGGACCUAUUUAGAUACAAGUCAGUUAUCUUGUAGAUAAGCGCUAUUAUGUUUUUGCUCUGGUUACUGCGUGUAUUGAUGAUUAUUAUUACGAAGACAAGGACGAUUAUCCGGAUGGUCUAUUUCAUCUUCAGUUAGCAUAAGCCAAGGGGUCUUGGGUACAAAUCUUAUUGAUAUUUUAAGGAUAAGUAAAGAAAGAAUAGACAUUCUGCUUGAGUUUUUAAAAAGACAUUUUAGAAAACAAAGGAAAUGAAACGCAAGACCCUGUAGCAAAGAAACCCAAACUAUUGUUCAACUGACAUAAUGAAUUUAAAAAAUGAAAAUGCUGCUUUGAAAGCAGUGAUGAAAAGGGAAGCUAUGAUUUCUUUUUUUUUUUUUUUUUUUACUGUAGAUAGGCAGGCCUAAAUGUCACUGGGGCUAAAAAUGUCACUGUGGACGAUUCAAGAAGGGGGAGGGGGUGCAAUUUCAGCCGAAUCCUCCUUUGCUCUUUUACCUAAAACAGAUGUGAUGGUUGAGGAUAAAUGACUGAGUCAGUAAAACUGUAGUUAUUGCCAUUGGCUAAUGGCAACAUGUGCAGGGUUUAUGUUCAAACCUUUGUAUAUCUUUACCAUGAGAAAAUUAUUAUGCAGGUUGUUGAUGGCUUUGGGUUUGGGUCAUGGUGGGAAGGGGUGGGGGGUGGGAAUGUUGACCUUGUUUUCCUUCACCGCUGCCUCUACUGGUGUUAGCUCCUCUGUGUGUCCUUCAGUGAUGAAGAAAUGUCAUCUUUUUUUACACUCUGGCCUUUUUUGCCCUUGUAUGUUUUUGAGUGAUUUUAUGAAAUCUUCCUUCGACAGAAUUUGAUGAUCAAGUUUUUCAUGAAUGUUGAUUUGAAAACUGUUAUUUUUGCUUAGUCCUACUCAAGUCUGCAAUCAGUUGUUGUUAUGUUUGGGCGUUGCUGUCGAUUAAGUCCAGACCUAGGUCUAAUUGAGGCUUUUACCCGAAUGAGUGUGCGGGGAAAGUUUGUCCAUAAGGUGUUCCACUAGGUGGUUCAGUGCGACAGUCCACUGGGUGGUUCACAUGAACUGAUCACUGUGGUUCACAUGAACUGAUCACUGUGGUUCACUUAAAUGGUUCACACUGUGUUGUUCACUUGAACUAUCCAGUGCAAUGUUCACUUAAACAGCCCAUUAUGUGGUUCACUUGAACAGCCCAUUAUGUGGUUCACUUGAACUAUCCACUGUGCUGUUCACUUGAACCUAUCAACUGUGCUGUUCACUUGAACUAUCAACUGUGCUGUUCACUUGAACUAUCCAGUGUAAUGUUCACUUGUACUAUCAACUAUGUUGUUUACUUGAACUGUCCACUGAAUUGGUCACGUAAACGCUCACUAGUUGAUUCACGAUAAAUAAUUCAGUGGACUGUUCAAGUGAAUCAUCCAUGAUGGCUCCAGUGUAUUUCAGUGAGAUUGGCGUAAACAGCCCACUGGAUGGCUCAUGUAGACGGUCUACUUGGCAGUAUGCUUGAACAGUCCACUUGGUGGUGUACUAGGUGGUCCUAGUGAUGGUGUACUAGGUGGUCCAAGUGAUGGUGUACUAGGUGGUCCAAGUGAUGGUGUUUGGUCUGUCCUGUAAGGUGAUCCACUAGGUUUGUCCACUUAGACACUCCACUGGAAAAAAAACUUGUUCAGACAGGGGUCCACAUGUAAUAAGCUCUUGUAGAAGAAAAAAAACUGUACUAGAUGGUAGACUUGGUCUGGAAUCCAUUAUUUUAAAUUGCCCUUGAAAUUGUUUAAUAAACCUUGCUUACAACAAACUAAAA